GGACGCCCGCUGAGGGGUUUAUUCUUCUCGGCAAAGCCUGAGCGGGCGGUGAGGGGCUCCUGAGCUGCACGGUCGGCCCUGCGGCCCACCAGGUCAGGUUUAACGCUGCUCGGUUGCGAAGCCUCCGGCGGCGCUCCGAAGGCUGCGAGGAGGGGCGGGCGCCGGUGGGCUCUGGUGACAGCGGUAGAACCCGAGGGCCUGGAGCUGCCGAGGAGGAGGUUGUUCACUAAGAAGGCGGUCGGGCACUGCAGCAGCCUGUCCGGGCUGUGGUUAUGGCACCACAGCUGACAGAGCUCAAGAAGCGGGUGGGCAAUGCUGUCAGACGUGUGGUCUGACCUCUGGGUGUCCUGUGUGGAGCCCGGAGUUGGGCUCAGCGAUCCUGAUGUGUCCCUUCCAGCUCAGGAUGUUCUGUGUUGUUUUUUCUUUACCUGGGAGAUGGAAAAAUUGGAGAACGCUUCAGCCCUCUCUCCCAUUAAGUCAAAUCUGCAGGAAAAUAGACUUAAUUUCUUCAAGUAUUCUUUUAACUAUUUGGUUCUGUUAAUCUGCAGCUUGGAAAGCAAAGCCAGUCAUUUAGAGAGCAGAAAACCCAACUGCUCUGCUGUGUACGGACACAGAUCUCACAGCAAGGCACCACGAAUAGCAGACCUGCAGAAAUGUCUCUCUGCUUUGAUACCAGCUGUGAGAGAAAAAGUUCCCCACGUGUAGAAUGAAGAUACCGCCCUGCUUUUUAGCUUAGACUGAAGGAGGGGUGCUAAAUGACAUCAGCCUCUCCAUCACUGCCACCAGGAGAGCUGGUCACUGUGCCCUGCUCCCUUGGUAGGGCUGCCCAUACCGACAUCACUUCCCCACGGGGCUUUGGGCCCAAGCAGGACCAGCAGGGCUCAGCUGUUAUCCAGUGAUGAACUCAGUGAUGAGGUGAUAAAUGCUGUAGUCUCGCUGCCAUGUGCUAAUAUCAGAGAGCAGAUAGGGCAGGUCUGCCUCAGUCCUGAGUGCUGGAGGUGAGGAUGGUAGAGCUGCUUGCGAAACUCAGUGCCCAGCCUUAUUAACACCACUGUGAACACAGAAAUGCCCAUCUGGAGGUGCGCACACUGCCACAGCCCAAGCCUUUUUACUGUCCUUACCCCCACUUUUCUUUUUACCAAAUAAUUGCAGGAAAAAAAAAAUACUCAUUUAUUUCAUAAUAUUUAAAGAUUUUGCCUGCAGUAGAAAACACUGUUCUAAAAAAAUGCAAACAAAAAAAAAGAAGAAAAUCAACAGAACUUUCUACUCUAACCCUGAUGUCACCCCCCAGAUCCACAUGGGAACACCCCGAAGUUCCCAUCAGUGAUAUUGUUCAGAUCCAAAACAAGACCCAGCACCAACGUACUGGAUUUCUUCUCGCAGAAGGAGAUCCCCAUCAAACAUCCAACAGCCAUAAACGACCCCCCUAAUUUUUUACUUUUAUUUUUUGUACACCAAAGCAUUUCUCCAGCAGAAAGUAAGAGGGAAUCCAUCUGUUUUUAUGGAACACCUUGAAAAAACCACUGUUGUGAAUGUGAACCAUGCAAUUACAGCGAGUGAAGCAGUGCUCAGUACUGUCAGUUCCAAAAUGGAAGAGAGGGAUGCCUCCACCUUCACCCCACUUUCAGGCCACUAUCUGCCAUGUGUGCUCCUCUGGGAGCUCUUUCAAACGCCCUCAUCCACCGCUCAGUGAGCCUCAGCGCUGGGCUCACUUCAAGGCACUGCUCAGAGCUUGGCUGGAUGAUGGGCUUUGGAGCUCUCCAGUGUCCAUCUCGGGGCUACGCCACUCUCACAGGGAAGGAGUUUUUUCCAUGACUGAUCAGAAUUUCCCUUGUUGCAAUUCAUAACCAGAGCUCAUGCACCCCUGUGGAGGGCCCUGCUCCAUCACUCCCUGGCUCCUAAUCUCCUUGCAGUUUCCAUCUUGCACUCUGCUCCCUUCCCCACCUGCACUUCAGGUUUCCUCUCUGCUUUCAGAUCUCUCCUGGAAUCUGGGGGUUCAGGCAGCCCAGUGUGACAAAGAUGGGGAUGCAGCCACUGUGCCAAGCGCCUACAGCUCAUUAAAGCUGGCGAAAUGCCUUUACUUCGUGCUAGGAAAAGAGUCAGGCGAGCCAGGCAGACGGUUCCCCAUCACUUCUCCAUGGCAACAGGCCUUCCAGAUGCAUGUAGGCAAACAGGCCGAGGAGGCAGGGAGCAUCUCAGUCCCUCUGCCCGCGCCCCAAACCUCCUCUGGUGGGGCUCCCUGCCCAGCUUGCUCCAUGCUAGGGGAGCACACCCCAAAACUGCUUCAAAAACAAUCAUAUCUAGUCAGAGAAAUGCUCUCCUCCUUCCACUGGUGAAGGUGAAAUACUCCAAACCUGAGACAGGCAAAAUCCAUCCUAGCCACUGAUGAUUUUUAUCUAUAUAAAUGUGUCAUGCUGGAAAAAUCUGGUAUCACAGAAUCCUUGCAAACCAAAAAACAGGUAUUAGCCUAGUGUGAGAUCCUGAGUCCUAUGCCUUGUUAGGUCUAAGAUGAAGCUGAGAUGAGAAGGGCCAAUGACCUUCAGACAUUAAGGAUGCAGCCUUUUAAUGCUUAGAAAAGUAAUUUUUGUCUAAAUGAGCAAAAGAAUGUGUAUCCUGACCAUUUAAAUUUAAAAACAAAAUGGAAAUAAGGCAAGCAAAAAAACAGUUACAUGAACUACUGGCGAAAAAGCAAAAGCAAAUAAUAAUAAAUCCUCUUCAAACACAUGAAGCACAGGAAGCCUGCUGGAGAGUCAGAAGUUGGCCAUGGUGCAACAGGAGCUCUCACAGGAGAUAAGGUGGGAACAAGGAAAAGAACAAAGUGGGUGUUUUGCAACCACAGUCGGCGAGGACAAGCUCUGAGAAGCAUCUGUGCCAAAACUCUGUGUAAGGACAUGGCACAGGAUUUGACUUACAUUCAAGCUACCUGCUGAGGAGGCUGAGGAAAAAAUAGCCAAACCAAAGACUGCAAAUUCACUGGGCUGAAGUGGCAUUCUCUUAAGUGCUCAGGAUGAGGAACCAGGAUGAAACAAUUCAAUUACUUAAUUGUAGCAGGUUCACCUGAAUCUCAUCUCCAUCCAAGCUGCACCACAGGCUGAUCACUGGCUUUGGGUUUAGUGCAAACCCAGGAGUCUCGUGGGAACCAACACCGCAGGAUGGGUCCUUCAGCACUGGCAGGGGCCAUUCAUUCAGCAGCCAUGGAGGAGCAGGACUUGGCCCAAAGCAAUAGAGGUUUCUCACGGCUGGGAUUCCCAAACAGCUCCAGGAGCUGUCACUGAUGGUAACUGAUAGCUCAACGAUUCAGUGAUUACUCAGUUUUUGCUCCAUCCACAUCCCAGUACUUCAGUUUGGCAAAAUAACAACAAGCCUUUGUUCUGACGUUGGAGCCCCGCAGGAGAAAUGUUGAAGUCCAAAGUGGCUGUGUUAUAUUUAAGAUGGAAAGAAAAAUAUUGUUGUUAAAGGAGA